GGGAUGUAGCUCAGUCUGGUCAAGAGCGUGCGCCUCGGGCGCGCAAGGUCGCUGGUUCGAAUCUGAGCCAUCCCCU
rnacentral:tRNA from 1 species